rnacentral:rRNA from 1 species
UACGUAGGGCGCGAGCGUUUGUCCGGAAUUAUUGGGCGUAAAGAGCUCGUAGGUGGUUUGUUGCGUCUGCCCGUGAAAGUCCGGGGCUCAACUCCGGAUCUGCGGUGGGUACGGGCAGACUAGAGUGAUGUAGGGGAGACUGGAAUUCCUGGUGUAGCGGUGAAAUGCGCAGAUAUCAGGAAGAACACCCGUGGCGAAGGCGGCUCUCUGGGACGGUACUGACGCUGAGACGGCGAAAGCGUGGGGAGCGAACAGG